CGUGGAAGCUUCUCGGAGGCCCGGAAAGCCGCCUGUGGAUCUCAUCAUCUUAUUUGGUUAACCGAACGCCGUGGCCUCUUGGUGCUGGCGAGGGCUCUGUUGUUCUUGGAAACGAGGCUGCGAGCCUCUCAGACCCUUGUCCGCACGGGCAGGCGGCCCUGAAGAGCGCGGAGUGAGGAAGCAGAGCCUCCAGCGAGCCCUGCACGUGGUCAUGUCCAGCGAGAGAAUAGGAAAGAAGGAAAACACGGCCCCCCAUCCUCAAGGACGAAGCAUAACCACAGCCAGUGGAAUUUCAGUGAAGCAUUUUUGGACCGUGACACACAGUAAAAAUACAUUUACCAUAUGAAUCAUGACCCAAUACCUCUAUCCAUCCAUCCACCCAUCCAUCCACAAUAAAACUUUAAUGAACCCUGGCUAGGAGCGGUCCAGCCUGAUAUUUUCUGUUCCCUUCUGUUUUUCUAACCCUGUCCCACAACCCGCUAAGCCCAUCUCGUGACCCACAGAGGGAUUGUUAUCC
rnacentral:lncRNA from 1 species